rnacentral:rRNA from 1 species
GAUGAACGCUGGCGGCGUGCUUAACACAUGCAAGUCGAACGGUGAAGCAGGAGCUUGCUCUUGUGGAUCAGUGGCGAACGGGUGAGUAACACGUGAGCAACCUGCCCCUGACUCUGGGAUAAGCGCUGGAAACGGCGUCUAAUACUGGAUAUGUGAUGUGACCGCAUGGUCUGCCUCUGGAAAGAAUUUCGGUUGGGGAUGGGCUCGCGGCCUAUCAGCUUGUUGGUGAGGUAAUGGCGCACCAAGGCGUCGACGGGUAGCCGGCCUGAGAGGGUGACCGGCCACACUGGGACUGAGACACGGCCCAGACUCCUACGGGAGGCAGCAGUGGGGAAUAUUGCACAAUGGGCGGAAGCCUGAUGCAGCAACGCCGCGUGAGGGAUGACGGCCUUCGGGUUGUAAACCUCUUUUAGCAGGGAAGAAGCGAAAGUGACGGUACCUGCAGAAAAAGCACCGGCUAACUACGUGCCAGCCGCCGCAGUAA